rnacentral:rRNA from 1 species
UACGAGGGAUGCAAGCGUUAUCCGGAAUUAUUGGGCGUAAAGCAUUUGUAGGCGGGCGAGUGUGUUUAAUGUUAAAUCUUAAAGCUCAACUUUGAAAUUGCGUUAAAAACUGCUUGUCUUGAGUAUGGUAGGGGUAAAGGGAAUUCCCAGUGUAGCGGUGAAAUGCGUAGAUAUUGGGAAGAACACUAAACAGCGAAGGCACUUUACUAGGCUAAUACUGACGCUGAGAAACGAAAGGUAAGGUAGCGAAACGGAUUAGAUACCCGUGUAGUCUUACCCGUAAACUAUGGACACUAAACGGUAAAUUUUUAAUUUACUGUUAAAGCUAACGCGUUAAGUGUCCCGCCUGGGGAGUAUGCUUGCAAAAGUGAAACUCAAAGGAAUUGACGGGGGCCCGCACAAGCGGUGGAGCAUGUGGUUUAAUUCGACGGUACACGAAGAACCUUACCAGGAUUUGACAUGCUAGAUAGUUGCUUGAAAGAGUAACGUGCCGUAAGGAAUCUAGACACAGGUGGUGCAUGGCUGUCGUCAGUUCGUGUUGUGAAAUGUUGGGUUAAGUCCCGCAACGAACGCAACCCUUGUCUUUAGUUAUUUUCUAAAGAGACUGCCUGUAAUAAACAGGAGGAAGGUAAGGAUGAGGUCAAGUCAUCAUGCCCCUUAUGUCCUGGGCUACACACGUGCUACAAUGGGAAAGACAAUGAGCUGCAAAUCUGUAAAUUUAAGCAAAUCUCUUAAACUUUCUCGUAGUUCGGAUUGUGGGCUGCAACUCGCCCACAUGAAGUUGGAAUCGCUAGUAAUCGCCAGUCAGCUAUAUGGCGGUGAAUCCGUUCCCGGGCCU